UUUAAUUGAAGAGUUUGAUCAUGGCUCAGAUUGAACGCUGGCGGCAGGCCUAACACAUGCAAGUCGAGCGGUAACAGAGGUAGCUUGCUAUCUGCUGACGAGCGGCGGACGGGUGAGUAAUGCUUGGGAAUAUGCCUUUAGGUGGGGGACAACAG
rnacentral:rRNA from 1 species